UACAGAGGUCUCAAGCGUUGUUCGGAAUCAUUGGGCGUAAAGGGUGCGUAGGCGGCGAGACAAGUCGAGUGUGAAAUCCCCGAGCUUAACUUGGGAAUUGCGCUCGAAACUACGAUGCUCGAGUGUGGCAGAGGAAGGUGGAAUUCCACGUGUAGCGGUGAAAUGCGUAGAGAUGUGGUGGAACACCGAUGGCGAAGGCAGCCUUCUGGGCCAACACUGACGCUCAUGCACGAAAGCGUGGGGAGCAAACAGG
rnacentral:rRNA from 1 species